CUCGGCUCAGCCCCAGGCGAAGGCAGGGCAAGUACCAGCGCCCGGAGGCGAGGGGGUUUGCUGUGCUGCCCACCUCCCGCGAUGGGUCUCCACAAGGGGCCCCAGACACUGACUACAUACCCCAAGGCUCACAGCCCUAUGGGACUGGAGCAACAACCCUUCUAGCUCUACAGCCAAUGCACCCCUAAGGCAGGGGGCUGGGGCUGAGACAUCACCCGCUGGCUUGAAGUGGCUGGCUCCUACAAAGGCAAUUUUCCCUCUCUUGAUAUGGACACCUCCUCAUCAAUUAUCCAGAGUGGAGUGGACCACAUCCACCCUGAUUGAAUUGGCCCUGUCAACACUGGUUCUCCACUUGUAAGGGAUCGCAUACCCUGGGUCUGGAGAUCUUCAAGGUGUGCACCCCAGCCGAGGUCCGAGGCAUCUGUUACCAACUUGAUGGAGUGAGGUGGGGUGUCAAACAGAACUACCUCUAGGACUGUCCUGCGAUUGGUCCACCACUGCAGUGAGAAGGCCCCGGGAGCAGCACAUGGCUUGCGGCACUGCAAUAUCCUUUUGGACUUGAGACCUAGAGCUGCCUUUGACCAUCCAGUCAUUGAGGUAUGAGUAGAUCUGGAUUCCCUGACGCCUCAGGACCUGGCUGUCGAAGCGAAGGUCCUUCAUCGACCGCUGAGUCUUGGUAGACAAGCUCGAGAGAAGCAGCCAGGAAGCUCGCUGCAUAGAGAUGGUGGAGGCCAUGGUGAAGACGGCAGAAUCUGCCGUGUCUGAAGUUGCUUGGAGGGCCGAUCUGGCCACAGCCAUGCCCUCCUCGAGGAUUGCCCGGAAUUCCUUCCUGGAGCCUUUGAGGAGUGAAGCCUCAAACUUGGCCAUGGCUUGCCACAUGUUGUAAUCGUAGUGGCCAAGUGAUUGGCCACUCUCAACU